rnacentral:rRNA from 1 species
UGGGGAAUAUUGCACAAUGGGCGCAAGCCUGAUGCAGCGACGCCGCGUGGGGGAUGACGGCCUUCGGGUUGUAAACUCCUUUCGCUAGGGACGAAGCUUUUUGUGACGGUACCUAGAUAAGAAGCACCGGCUAACUACGUGCCAGCAGCCGCGGUAAUACGUAGGGUGCGAGCGUUGUCCGGAAUUACUGGGCGUAAAGGGCUCGUAGGUGGUUUGUCGCGUCGUCUGUGAAAUUCCGGGGCUUAACUCCGGGCGUGCAGGCGAUACGGGCAUAACUUGAGUACUGUAGGGGUAACUGGAAUUCCUGGUGUAGCAGUGAAAUGCGCAGAUAUCAGGAGGAACACCGAUGGCGAAGGCAGGUUACUGGGCAGUUACUGACGCUGAGGAGCGAAAGCAGGGGUAGCGAACAGG